CUCAGGAUGAACGCUAGCGACAGGCUUAACACAUGCAAGUCGAGGGGCAGCAUAAAAGUAGCAAUACGUUGGUGGCGACCGGCGCACGGGUGAGUAACGCGUAUGCAACCUACCUAUCAGAGGGGAAUAACCCGGCGAAAGUCGGACUAAUACCGCAUAAAACAGGGGCACCGCAUGGUGAUAUUUGUUAAAGAAAUUCGCUGAUAGAUGGGCAUGCGUUCCAUUAGGUAGUUGGUGAGGUAACGGCUCACCAAGCCGACGAUGGAUAGGGGAACUGAGAGGUUGGUCCCCCACACUGGUACUGAGACACGGACCAGACUCCUACGGGAGGCAGCAGUGAGGAAUAUUGGUCAAUGGGCGGGAGCCUGAACCAGCCAAGUCGCGUGAAGGAAGAAGGAUCUAUGGUUACGUAAACUUCUUUUGCAGGGGAAUAAAGUGCAGGACGUGUCCUGUUUUGUAUGUACCCUGAGAAUAAGGAUCGGCUAACUCCGUGCCAGCCGCUGC
rnacentral:rRNA from 1 species